UUUUAUUUUUAUGUAAAAUAAUCAUUGUAGAAAAAAACUUUCUGCUACCGAUCGUCUCUAGUGCAAGUAGCAAAUGGUUUGGUGGUUGAUACUUGAGAUCUCAAAUUCGAAUUCUAGUUCGAUUCAUAUUUUCAGUUAUAUUCAUUUUUAAAAUGAAAUAAACGAAACAGAUAGUAUGCCAUCUAUCUCUCAAAAAAGAGAAAACUUUCUGCUACGGACAGAA
rnacentral:lncRNA from 1 species